rnacentral:rRNA from 1 species
GAUGAACGCUAGCGGCAGGCUUAAUACAUGCAAGUCGUGGGGCAGCAGGGGUGUAGCAAUACACUCGCUGGCGACCGGCAAACGGGUGCGGAACACGUACGCAAUCUACCCAAAACUGGUGAAUAGCCCUCCGAAAGGAGGAUUAAUACACCGUAACCUAUUGAAGUGGCAUCACUUUAUUAUAAAAGCUCCGGCGGUUU